CCCAAACCCAAUGGGGAACGUUACCCAAUCGUGUUUCGGGGGGGCCCCCCAGGGGCGCCGCCGGAGGCCAUCGAAACUCUUAUUGUAUCUUGCAGGGGCAUCUGUCUGAGUAGUUAGCCUUCGGGCGAAAAAAUGAAUCAAAACUUUCAACAACGGAUCUCUUGGUUCUGGCAUCGAUGAAGAACGCAGCGAAAUGCGAUAAGUAAUGUGAAUUGCAGAAUUCAGUGAAUCAUCGAAUCUUUGAACGCACAUUGCGCCCGCCAGUAUUCUGGCGGGCAUGCCUGUUCGAGCGUCAUUUCAACCCUCAAGCCCGGCUUGGUGUUGGGGACCGGACCGCACGCCCGUGCGGCUCCGCCCCCGAAAUUCAGUGGCGGUCCCGCCGCAGCCUCCUCUGCGCAGUAGCUCUAACGAACCUCGCACCGGAGAGCGGCAGGCCCACGCCGUAAAACCCCCCAACUUUCUGAAUUGUUGACCUCGGAUCAGGUAGGAAUACCCGC
rnacentral:rRNA from 1 species